CUCCCAAAUCGGUCAAAGAUUGCUGCGCCUCUUCCAUUCUCCCAAAGCCUCUUCCUCCAGGUCUUUUCCACCAGCUCUGUUCUCACGACAUCUCAGCUCUCCCUAUUCUUUCACACGGAGCAGCAGCUGCAAAUCCACAUCCACCGCUGCUCAUCUCAUCCCAAACCGAGUGCCACCUUUCAUCUCUGCUUCCUCCCUGCCUAAGUCGAUCAGAGCAGCAGCGCUCCUCCACCCAGCUCCCAUGGCCGAAGCCAAUCCAACUCGCCCACUGUCCUCGCCCAGACACGCGCCGUCGCCUCCUCAAGAUGAAGCUGUGCCGGGGCGCGCCGCCGUGCAGGACCCCCGCCCCAAUGGGCACAACUCUGCCGGUGCACCGCGCAGCAACGUGCCUCCCCUCCGCGCGAAGCCCACCAAGCCACCCUUUUGACUCGACGGGCGCCGGAUGCCGCGAAUCUGGGAGCACUGUCGACGCCGGCUGCGGAACUCACCAUCGCCGAUCUCCCAUUCUGAUUGUUGAGAUGGAGAUCAACCUCAAUCUAGAUGAAGUAAAGAGAAGAAGUCUAAGAUUGCGUCUACACCCGAAUUGCAUGUGGCAUUGGGUUGUUCCGCUUGGUUUUGCUUCUUUCGUUGUAGGCUGAUCUGCCAUGGAUCCUAGUCCACGAGAUCAUCGAUAACUCUUUUCAGGUAAUUAUUGUAUUCGAAUUAUGUAUUUGAUAUCAUUCUGUUGAAUUUUGUGCAUAU